UACGUAGGGACCAAGCGUUGUUCGGAUUUACUGGGCGUAAAGGGCGCGUAGGCGGCUUAACAAGUCACUUGUGAAAUCUCCGGGCUUAACUCGGAACGGCCAAGUGAAACUGUCAAGCUAGAGUGCGGAAGGGGCAAUCGGAAUUCUUGGUGUAGCGGUGAAAUGCGUAGAUAUCAAGAGGAACACCUGAGGUGAAGACGGGUUGCUGGGCUGACACUGACGCUGAGGCGCGAAAGCCAGGGGAGCAAACGGG
rnacentral:rRNA from 1 species